AUUGAACGCUGGCGGCAGGCCUAACACAUGCAAGUCGAACGAGUGGCGGACGGGUGAGUAAUGUAUGGGAAACUGCCUGAUGGAGGGGGAUAACUACUGGAAACGGUAGCUAAUAACGCAUACCAUCAGGGGUGCCCAGCGGGGCUUAGCUUGUUGUGGGGGUAAAGGCUGCCCAAGGCGACGAUCCCUAGCUGGUCUGAGAGGAUGACCAGCCACACUGGAACUGAGACACGGUCCAGACUCCUACGGGAGGCAGCAGUGGGGAAUAUUGCACAAGGGGCGCAAUCCUGAUGCAGCCAUGCCGCGUGUACGAAGAAGGCUUUCGGGUUGUAAAGUUCUUUCAGCGGGGAGGCGUUACCCGCAGAAGAAGCACCGGCUAACUCCGUGCCAGCAGCCGCGGUAAUUC
rnacentral:rRNA from 1 species